rnacentral:rRNA from 1 species
GACGAACGCUGGCGGCGUGCUUAACACAUGCAAGUCGAACGGAAAGGCCCUGCUUUUGUGGGGUGCUCGAGUGGCGAACGGGUGAGAACACGUGAGUAACCUGCCCUUGACUUUGGGAUAACUUCAGGAAACUGGGGCUAAUACCGGAUAGGAGCUCCUGCUGCAUGGUGGGGGUUGGAAAGUUUCGGCGGUUGGGGAUGGACUCGCGGCUUAUCAGCUUGUUGGUGGGGUAGUGGCUUACCAAGGCUUUGACGGGUAGCCGGCCUGAGAGGGUGACCGGCCACAUUGGGACUGAGGUACGGCCCAGACUCCUACGGGAGGCAGCAGUGGGGAAUAUUGCACAAUGGGCGGAAGCCUGAUGCAGCAACGCCGCGUGCGGGAUGACGGCCUUCGGGUUGUAAACCGCUUUCGCCUGUGACGAAGCGUGAGUGACGGUAAUGGGUAAAGAAGCACCGGCUAACUACGUG